GAGUGGCGGACGGGUGAGUAACACGUGGGUAACCUACCCAUCAGAGGGGGAUAACACUUGGAAACAGGUGCUAAUACCGCAUAACAGUUUAUGCCGCAUGGCAUAAGAGUGAAAGGCGCUUUCGGGUGUCGCUGAUGGAUGGACCCGCGGUGCAUUAGCUAGUUGGUGAGGUAACGGCUCACCAAGGCCACGAUGCAUAGCCGACCUGAGAGGGUGAUCGGCCACACUGGGACUGAGACACGGCCCAGACUCCUACGGGAGGCAGCAGUAGGGAAUCUUCGGCAAUGGACGAAAGUCUGACCGAGCAACGCCGCGUGAGUGAAGAAGGUUUUCGGAUCGUAAAACUCUGUUGUUAGAGAAGAACAAGGACGUUAGUAACUGAACGUCCCCUGACGGUAUCUAACCAGAAAGCCACGGCUAACUACGUGCCAGCAGCCGCGGUAAUACGUAGGUGGCAAGCGUUGUCCGGAUUUAUUGGGCGUAAAGCGAGCGCAGGCGGUUUCUUAAGUCUGAUGUGAAAGCCCCCGGCUCAACCGGGGAGGGUCAUUGGAAACUGGGAGACUUGAGUGCAGAAGAGGAGAGUGGAAUUCCAUGUGUAGCGGUGAAAUGCGUAGAUAUAUGGAGGAACACCAGUGGCGAAGGCGGCUCUCUGGUCUGUAACUGACGCUGAGGC
rnacentral:rRNA from 1 species